AAAGAACAGAAACGUCACCUGAGUGAUCCCACUCCAGACAGGAAAUGACCUCAGAGUGUCCAGAGCUGAUGGAGUAAACAUCCCAGGGGUGUUCAGUGUCAAUGAUAUGAAUCAUGUGACUGACAUCUGCAACACAGAGGUCAGUGGUAAAGGCCACCAGGUUCCUACAGGACCAGGAACAUACCAGCGGGAUUGAGGGACAGUGUGUGCUCUUCUGACGUUUGUCCCACUCGCAUACAUAUGCCAAUUCCAUGACGUCACCACAGAAGUCCCUCACUGGUGAGACGUCUCAUCCAGAGAUGCACAAGCGGAUUGAACAGCACACAAU